rnacentral:rRNA from 1 species
GACGAACGCUAGCGGCGGGCUUAACACAUGCAAGUCGAACGGCAAGGCUCUGAGUAAUUUUGGUCCUAGAGUGGCGCAAGGGUGAGUAACACGUAAGUAACCUGCCCUCGACAGUAGGAUAACUCCCCGAAAAGGGGACUAAUACCCCAUAACAGCACGUGCAGGCUGCUGGGUAUUGUUAAAUCGCAACGGGUCGGGAAUGGGUCUGCGGUUGUUUAGCUAGUUGGGGGGGUGAAGGCUCACCAAGGUGGUGAUGAAUAGGGGUUCUGUGGGGAAAGUCCCCCACACUGGCACUGAGAUACGGGCCAGACUCCUACGGGAGGCAGCAGUAGGGAAGAUUGGACAAUGGUUGCAAGACUGAUCCAGCCAUGCCGCGUGCAGGAAGAAGGCCUUCUGGGUCGUAAACUGCUUUUUCCUGUGGAUAAAAUACCCGUGCGCGGGGAAUUGAAGGUAACAGGGAAAUAAGCCACGGCUAACUACGUG